GCAAGUCGAGCGGUAACAGGUGUAGCAAUACAUGCUGACGAGCGGCGAACGGGUGAGUAAUGCUUCGGAAUCUGCCCAAUGGUGGGGAAUAACCAGCCGAAAGGUUGGCUAAUACCGCAUAAGUCCUACGGGGGAAAGCAGGGGAUCGCAAGACCUUGCGCCGAUGGAUGAGCCGAAGUCGGAUUAGCUAGUUGGUAGGGUAACGGCCUACCAAGGCGACGAUCCGUAGCUGGUCUGAGAGGACGACCAGCCACACUGGGACUGAGACACGGCCCAGACUCCUACGGGAGGCAGCAGUGGGGAAUAUUGGACAAUGGGGGAAACCCUGAUCCAGCGACGCCGCGUGUGUGAAGAAGGCCUGCGGGUUGUAAAGCACUUUUAGUGGGGAUGAAAAGCUCAGGGCUAACACCUCUGGGUCUUGACCUAACCCAAAGAAAAAGCACCGGCUAACUCUGUGCCAGCAGCCGCGGUAAUACAGAGGGUGCGAGCGU
rnacentral:rRNA from 1 species